CUGCGAAUACUUUGUAAUAAUCAGGGCAGGCUAAACAUUCACUAUAUUAAGUUCUUUCCCUAGGUCUGGUUUUGUAAAUGCUGGUGAUAAAC
rnacentral:snoRNA from 1 species